GCAUAUGAAUAAGGAUCGGCUAACUCCGUGCCAGCAGCCGCGGUCAUACGGAGGAUCCAAGCGUUAUCCGGAAUUACUGGGCGUAAAGAGUUGCGUAGGUGGCACUGUGUGUCAGUAGUGAAAGCGUGUGGCUCAACCAUAUACACAUUACUGAAACUGCAGAGCUAGAGGACGAGAGAGGUAACUGGAAUUCCUUGUGUAGGAGUGAAAUCCGUAGAUAUAAGGAGGAACACCGAUGGCGUAGGCAGGUUACUGGCUCGUUUCUGACACUAAGGCACGAAAGCGUGGGGAGCAAACGGGAUUAGAUACCCCGGUAGUCCACGCCGUAAACGAUGAAUGCUAGCUGUUAUGGGUAUCGACCCCCGUAGUAGCGAAGCUAACGCGUUAAGCAUUCCGCCUGUGGAGUACGGUCGCAAGACUAAAACAUAAAGGAAUUGACGGGGACCCGCACAAGCGGUGGAGCGUGUUGUUUAAUUCGAUGGUAAACGAAGAACCUUACCCAGGCUUGACAUCCAUGGAAUUUUUCCGAAAGGAAAGAGUGCUUUUAGAACCAUGUGACAGGUGUUGCAUGGCCGUCGUCAGCUCGUGUCGUGAGAUGUUUGGUUAAGUCCAUCAACGAGCGCAACCCUUAUGGUCUGUUGUAUUUCUCAGGCCAGACCGCCCCGGUAACGGGGAGGAAGGAGGGGAUGAUGUCAGGUCAGUAUUACCCUUACGUCUGGGGCUACAAACACGCUACAAUGGCCGGUACAAAGGGCAGCCAAGUCGCGAGACGGAGCAAAUCCCAUCAAAGCCGGUCUCAGUUCGGAUAGCAGGCUGAAACUCGCCUGCUUGAAGCCGGAAUCGCUAGUAACGGUAGGUCAGCUAUACUACCGUGAAUACGUUCCCGGGUCUUGUACACACCGCCCGUCAAACCAUGAAAGUCGGGGGUACCUGACGUGUGAGCUUUGCCUCGCCCUAAGGUAAACCAGAUGAUUGGGGUUAAGUCGUAACAAGGUAUCCGUACGGGAA
rnacentral:rRNA from 2 species